GAGUUUGAUCAUGGCUCAGAUUGAACGCUGGCGGCAGGCUUAACACAUGCAAGUCGAGCGGUAACAGGGGGAGCUUGCUCCCCGCUGACGAGCGGCGGACGGGUGAGUAAUGCAUAGGAAACUGCCCAGUAGUGGGGGAUAGCCCGGGGAAACCCGGAUUAAUACCGCAUACGCCCUUCGGGGGAAAGCAGGGGAUCUUCGGACCUUGCGCUAUUGGAUGUGCCUAUGUCGGAUUAGCUAGUUGGUGGGGUAAGAGCCUACCAAGGCGACGAUCCGUAGCUGGUCUGAGAGGAUGAUCAGCCACAUCGGGACUGAGACACGGCCCGAACUCCUACGGGAGGCAGCAGUGGGGAAUAUUGGACAAUGGGGGCAACCCUGAUCCAGCCAUGCCGCGUGUGUGAAGAAGGCUUUCGGGUUGUAAAGCACUUUCAGUGAGGAGGAAAACCUUAAGACUAAUACUCGUGAGGCUUGACGUUACUCACAGAAGAAGCACCGGCUAACUCCGUGCC
rnacentral:rRNA from 1 species